rnacentral:rRNA from 1 species
UACGUAGGGGGCAAGCGUUGUUCGGAUUUACUGGGCGUAAAGCGCGUGUAGGCGGCUUGGCAAGUCGGAUGUGAAAGCCCACGGCUCAACCGUGGAAGCGCAUCCGAAACUGCUUCGCUCGAGUCUCGGAGAGGAAGGUGGAAUGCUUGGUGUAGAGGUGAAAUUCGUAGAUAUCAAGCAGAACACCUGCGGCGAAGGCGGCCUUCUGGACGAUGACUGACGCUGAGACGCGAAAGCGUGGGGAGCAAACAGG